CACGUAGAGCGCAAGCGUUGUCCGGAAUUAUUGGGCGUAAAGAGCUCGUAGGCGGUCUGUUACGUCUGCUGUGAAAACCCGGGGCUUAACCCUGGGCUUGCAGUGGAUACGGGCAGACUAGAGGCAGGUAGGGGAGAAUGGAAUUCCCGGUGUAGCGGUGAAAUGCGCAGAUAUCGGGAGGAACACCGGUGGCGAAGGCGGUUCUCUGGGCCUGACCUGACGCUGAGGAGCGAAAGCGUGGGGAGCGAACAGG
rnacentral:rRNA from 1 species